rnacentral:rRNA from 1 species
UACGAAGGGGGCUAGCGUUGUUCGGAAUCACUGGGCGUAAAGCGCACGCAGGCGGAUUGAUAAGUCAGGGGUGAAAUCCCGGAGCUCAACUUCGGAAUUGCCUUUGAUACUGUCUAUCUUCGAGUUCGGGAGAGGUUGGGCGGAAUUCCUAGUGUAGAGGUGAAAUUCGUAGAUAUUAGGAAGAACACCAGUGGCGAAGGCGGCCAACUGGCCCGAUACUGACGCUCAUGUCGCGAAAGCGUGGG